rnacentral:rRNA from 1 species
UAACGACUCUCGGCAACGGAUAUCUCGGCUCUCGCAUCGAUGAAGAACGUAGCGAAAUGCGAUACUUGGUGUGAAUUGCAGAAUCCCGUGAACCAUCGAGUCUUUGAACGCAAGWKGCGCCCGAAGCCAUUAGGCCGAGGGCACGUCUGCCUGGGCGUCACG